rnacentral:rRNA from 1 species
UACGGAGGGGGCUAGCGUUGUUCGGAAUCACUGGGCGUAAAGGGCGCGCAGGCGGCUUAACAAGUUGGAAGUGAAAUCCUAUGGCUUAACCAUAGAACUGCUUUCAAAACUGUUAGGCUAGAGUAUGGUAGAGGAUGGUGGAAUUCCUAGUGUAGAGGUGAAAUUCGUAGAUAUUAGGAGGAACACCGGUGGCGAAAGCGACCAUCUGGGCCAUUACUGACGCUGAGGCGCGAAAGCGUGGGGGAGCAAACAGG